rnacentral:lncRNA from 1 species
GGGUCAUCCCCAGCGCCGGGUCAUUCUCGUACAAGGGGAGAUUUCAUCAAAAGCUUUGCUAAAAUCCAAAGCAGCUCUCUCUGGAGCUCUCCCGUCAGCUACCAGUACAGCGAUCCUGUCCCAAGAGGAAAUGGCGAGAAUCCGGCACGACCCGUUCUUGAGAAAUUCCGACGGAUUCUUGGGAAUCAAUGCCUGUAUUUUUAGAUGACCUUCAGCCACUUCCCUUCUCUGAGACUCCUUCCUCCUCUGCAAAAGGAGGCAAUGGACAAGGUGGUCCCCGGCAUCUUUAUGUCUCUUCCACUACUUGGCCCUAUGGUGGCUGAUGGGGGACAGGUGUUCUCCGUAGCUCACCCACAAGCAUGAGUUUGUCAGGUCUCCUGAUGUCCGAGGCCCCAUGGGGGACUCAAGCAGCUCCUAACCGUCAGGCCACAGAGAGUGGCUACGCUGGCCAUCACUCACGUCCACGCCCUUCAAGGACCCCAGAUGGUGGUUGUUUUCAUGUAUCCUAACAGGUCCAGAGGUCAGGGUUCACGCUCUCAUUUUCCUGAAUUAAUUGUGUUAUGAUUGUCCCGGCUAACAGGAAGGGCUUGGGCCCUUCUACUUCUAAGCGCCUUGGGAUUUAUUUGUGGCUCUUGGGAGUGGGCUCGCUUGGACAGCUGCUGUCUUCUGACCCAGGAUGCCAGAACCACGUCCCCCUUGUGAUCUGGCACCUGAGUCUGGCAAACAUUCUUGAGCUGGUUCUGUCUGAUUUUAUCAUUGUGGACUUUGGCGAAGGCACAGAUGGUAAUGGAGGCAGAAGACCUUGACUUCCUUGGAACCUCAUUUCCUCAUCUGUGAAAUGGGGUGG